AUUGAAUGCUGGCGGCUGGCCUAACACAUGCAAGUCGAGCGAGCGGCGUACGGGUGAGUAAUGUCUGGGGACUGCCCGAUAGAGGGGGAUAACUACUGGAAACGGUGGCUAAUACCGCAUACUAUCGGAUCACCCAUAUGGGCUUAGCUAGUAGGUGGGGUAAAGGAUCACCUAGGCGACGAUCCCUAGCUGGUCUGAGGGGAUGAUGAGCCACACUGGGACUAAGAAACGACCCAGACUCCUACGGAGGCAGCAGUGGGGAAUAUUGCACAAUGGGCGCAAGCCUGAUGCAGCCAUGCCGCGUGUAUGAAGAAGGCCUUAGGGUUGUAAAGUACUUUCAGCGAGGAGGCGUUGCCCACAGAAGAAGCACCGGCUAACUCCGUGCCAGCAGCCGCGGUAGUAC
rnacentral:rRNA from 1 species